CUCCCCCGCCCUUUUUGUCGAAUUCUCUCAGCAGAGGAGGUGUAGUCUACGCCGGGGAAGCCGAGCUUCGGCGUUCUCAUCCCCGGCGCGCUUCAGUAGAAACGGUCCGCAUUUAAUGCUCUUGUCAGGCUUCCGAAGGGGCUGCGGUCGUUGGUGGCGAACUCCAGGAAGGCCGUAUAAAGGUGUGUGACAUUGGAACAAAUUGGUUUCUAGUUGCUUCAGUGAAUAAUUCUAAUUUUUAAUUUGGAAGAAGCCGCUUUAGAGGAAGCAACUACAACUUAUACAAGCUCCUAUAGCUUUUCCUCUUCCCAAAUGGGGAUUGGCCUUCAAAAUUGUUCUUCAAAAACUCCGCCAAAGUCAGUCCAUUUUAUUCUAUGGCCAUGUCUUCAUGAUACACACCAGUGUUAAAUCUCUCAGAUCAUUUGGACAAUUCAGUGAAGACAAAGCAAACUAAUUUCUUUUAUGAAAGGACUGAAUGGUUGGUUGAAAUGCAAGUUCAUCAAAAUGGUUGAAAUAAUGGGAUUUAAAGUGGCAAAGGACUUUCCAGAUCAUCUAAUUCAACACCUUCAUUCGACAAAUGAAGAAACUGAAAUGCAGAGAAGAGUUUCUGAAGAGUUAUGAUGCAACAGACAAAAUGUCAUUCUUGAAGAAGAGCAGAAGAUCUCAUCAAUUGUAGAAGAUUUUUCUUCAUCUUGGAACCUGUGCUGGAUCCUGGCACCUGGCAAUGCCCAAGACAUCACUGGCUCUGACUGAGCCUUCUUAUUCUACAGAGGAAGAAACUGAGGCCCAAAGAGAGGUUUCAUGAUUUGCCUCAGGUCACUCACAUAGAAUGCAAUUUUUGCUGAGGACUGCUUUCGCUGCUUUCCAGAAGUUUAGGUACGUGAUUUCAUCAUCACCUGUUUCUCCCAUAGUUAGUAAUAGGACUGUUAUUUAGAAUUUCAUUGUCAUCUCCAUUUGGGUUUGUGUGGGAAAGAUUACUUGGUGUAGUGGUAGUGUAUGAUAGAGAGAGGAGACUAUUGUAGAGCAGGGGAGAAGAAAGACAUUGGAAGGAAUAGAAGGAGAAUUGCAAAAGAAAUAGACAAUGGAAGAUGGUAGGGAGACAGUUGGGGACAACUGCAUAGCACUGCAGUGGAUAGAGUGUUACGCCUGGAGUCAGGAAGACUAACUUCCUUUAAUUCAAAUCUGGCUUCAGAUACUAACUAGUUGUGUGCUUCUGGGUACCUAACCAACCCUGUUUGCCUCAGUUUCCUCAUCUGUAAAAUGAAUUGGGGAAGGAAAUGGCAAAUCACUCUGGUAUCUGUGCCAAGAAAAUCCCAAAUGGGGUCAUGAAAAGUCUGAUAUGACUGAAUGACAAUAGGGAGGCAAGUUAGGUGUCAUGGUACAUAGAGUAUUUUAGUAGAAGUAGGAAGAUCUGAGUUUGAAUCCAGUUUGAUAAACAUUCUAGUUAUAUCAUUCAAACUGUCUAAAUCUCAGUUUCUUCUGUUCUAAAAUGUUGGAACUAGACUCAAUAAGCCCAUAAUGUCUGUUCCAGCUAUAAAUACAUAAUAAUAUUGAUAACAGAGAGAAAAGGAUAAGAUCAUUUGAUAUUUGGGUGGAAGGAAAGAUAUUAGAGGGAAACUUUUAAGAGAAGGAGGAGAGAGAGAUAGAGGAAAAAGGAGAAAGAUAGGGAGAGGGAGAUGAUAAUAAGUAAGGAAAUUAGGGAAGGAACCUUUAUAAGGCAAAAUGAGGAAUAGAAAUAAGAGACCAUAGGUGAGGAAGAGAUUCGAAGGAAAGAGGUACCUUGAAGGUAUAAAAGAAGCCAGAUAAAUAUCACUUUGUUUAGAGUACUGUACUUGGAGCUGAGUUUAUUUCAAUGCCAUCUCAGCCACUGACAAUCUCUAUUUCUUUGGAGAAGUCACUUAACUAUGUUUAGCCUUAAAAUUUAUGGGACUGGAUUUAAUGGCUUUUAAUGACAUUCCAGCUCCAUGAUCCUCUGGAUCCCAGACAGAGAAAAACAUUUCCACUUGAGAUUAAGCUUAAAUAGAUGGAGACAGAAGGAAGCAGUCACAGGAAAUUAAAGAGUGUUCCGUGGGGGUGGAAUACGUAGAGCAAAGGAACCAGGUCUCCCUGUGGACUCUUCCUGGGAGUAAGAAUGACCUGAGUCAAAUUCUUAACAUUUUGAAUAAAUACUUGAUGCCAGAUAAUUCAUUUGCAGUGCAUCAGCCUCUGUCUGGUGUUAUACUAAUAUUUGGACUCAAUGACUCCAAAGGUUUCUUUGAACUUUAAUCAUUAAUCAAUGAUGAUUGGGGCAAAAGAACAGACCCCUUUACUAAGGAGAAAUUAGAAGAAGAAAAUGGUUUUGAGGAAAGAGAGAGAGGAGGGGAAAAGGGAAGGAUUGAGAGAAAUAUUGAGAGACACAGAGAAAAACAGAAUGAGAUAGUCAGAUAUAUAUAAAAUUAGAGAAUGACAGUGAUAUAGAAAAAGAAAUCCAGAGAUAGAUCCAGUGAGAGAAACAGACAGUGACAAAUAUAGAUAAAUAGGACAAGAUAGAGAAGAAGGGAGUGAAGGAAGAGACAAUUAUGGAGGAAAAUGAGAAAUAGCGAUAAGAGAUUGCAAGAGGAGGGAAAGAAUCAAAGGGAAGAUGCACCUGGCAGGUGUAGAAGAAACCAUACAGGUGUCCUAGUGGUUAGAACACUAUUCUACCUAAAGCUGUAGUACUCUGGAGAAAUAACGUAAUAGGAGUCAGCCUGUUUUCUCCUCAGUCAAUGUAUUAAGUCAGAGUUGAUGAUGUCUAAUGAACAACCAGAUGUAUGAUCCUCUGGAUUCCAUAGAGAAAAAUGGAUGUGCCCUUUGGUGCAAGAUUCUGAUAGAGAGAGAUGGUUAGGGGGAGAUAGGCAUUGAGGAUGAGAAGGAAAAAGAAAGAAGCAUCAGUAGGAAAGCAUGGCUUGAGUUCAAGUCUUAGUAAACAUUUGGUAUAUUUGACACUGAGGAAUUCAUUUACAUUGUCUAAGGUCCUCUCUUCUGUUAUAUCAUAAUAAAAAUGAGCUCAAUGGCCCUUAGGGCUAAUUCCAGCUCCAGAUGUAUGAUUAUAGUCAUGAAAGGAGAAAAAGAAAAGACUAUUUUUUAAGAGAGAGGGAGAGAGAGAGAGAGAGAGAGAAAAGAAUCACUCAUUGUGAUAAUGAACAAUGGAAAAAACUAUUGUGGAAGACAAUGAGGAAUGGAGAUAAGAGACCAAGGUGAGGAAGAGAUACAGAGGGAAGAGAUUACUGGCAAGUGUAGAAUGGGCCAGGUAGAUGUCCUAAUGGACAAACUACCCGAUUUGGAACUGGCUGCUGGAGUUUAAAUUCCACAUUGGCAGCUCAUAAACAUUUUUACUUUAGAAAAGGCACUAAACUACUGCAAACCUCAAUGAUUUCAUGGGUGUCAGAGCACAAGCAAUGUCCACUUGGUAUGAACUUUAAAAUAGAGAGAGAUGGAAGUAGAGGGAAUCUGGCAUUGAGGAAGAGUAUAACAGCCAGAUCUCUUAAUGAAUUCUUCUUGAAAGUCAGAGUGACCUGACUUCAAAUCCUACUUCACAUUAUGAGUAAAUAUUUGACCCUAGGCAAUUCAGUUACAGUGUCUAAACCUCUGGUCAGCUGCUUUAAUAUAAUGAAAUUGAACCCAGUCGCUGCAAGAGGUCCUUUCAGCUCUAAAUCUGUUGGGUGGUAAUUAGAGCAAAAGAGAAAAAGCUUUUGAGGAGGAGAUAAAGAGAUUAAAAAAAGGAAGAAAGAGAGACAGGGUGGAAGAGCGAGACAUACAGAGAGACAGAGAAAAAGAGAGAGAAACACACAAUGAUUAGCAAGAGUUCUGAAAGAGACCAUUGUGGAGGAAAAAUGAGGAAGAGAUGAGAUACUUGAAUAUUUGACUUAGGACAUUUCAGUUGCAGUGGCUAAGCUUCCUUCUUCUGUUAUACUAUAAUAGAAUUACACUCAAUGAUCCAUAGGGCUAAUUCCAGCUAUAAACUGUGAUCACAGUUGCAGAGCAAACCAGCUGGGCUUCUUAGUGGUUAUAUUAUUUGGUGUUGACUUUGAUUUAAGUUCCACAUAAGGGCCUAAAAAAACUGUCUUACUUUGGAGAUGUUUCUUAAUCACCAUCAGCUUCAGCUGUCAUCUCAAUUAAAUUUACAGGGCUGGACUUAAUGGUAUUCAUCUCCAUGAUCCCCUGGUUGCCAGAUAUUUAAAAAGGUGUUCACUUGGGAUUAGCCUUGGAAUAGAGAGAAAGUUAGGGGAAAUCAGUCACUAAGGAUUAAAAGAUGACAGACAAGUAUUCACAGGAAAAGGAAGUAUGAGGAUUGAGGGGAAUAUGAAAGGAAAAAUAACCAGGUCUUCUCAUGGACUCUUCUUGAAAGUCAGAAUGACCUGAGUUCAAAUCCUAGUUCACAUGUAGGAUAUCUGUUUGAUUCUGGAUAAUUCAGUUAGCAUGUCUAAGCCUCCUACUCCUGUUCUUAAUAUAAUGGAGUUGGACUCAAUGACCCAUUGGGUUCCUGCCAGCUCCAAAGCUAUGGUCACAGACAUAAUAGAGAAUAAAGAAAAGACUUCUUGUUUAUGGGUGGGAAAUAGCAUAAGGAGAAAAUGUUUUUGAGGAGCUAGAGAAGAGGAGAAGAAGAGGGAGAGAGGUGGGGGAGGAUAAGAAAAGAGACAGAGAUAAGAGGCAGACAUAUAGAGACAGUGAGAAGGAGCACUAUGAAGAGGGUGAACAAUCGAGUCAGGAGAAGUCAAGUGGGGAAAAGAAUAAAAGGUAAAGCCUCCACUAGAAGGGAGGCUCAGCAUGAUGGAAAGACCUUUGAGCAUCGAGUUAAGAUAUUGGAGUUGGAAAGUUGGUGCUUAAUGUGUGAUGCUGGACAAUUCCUAUUGCCUUGUUCAACCUCAGUUUCCUCCUCUGUAAAUAAUGUCACUGGCAGUGGUGGCCUUUAAGGUCUCUCUGGCUCUAUGAGUUUAUAGAUGGGGAGAGAGAAAGGAAAGCCCACUGAGGGCUGAAGUAAUAAGAGAGUGAUAAAUUUAGAGAAAAGCAUGUAGAGGAGGAGAAAGGUAUAGAGGGACAGGACCACUGGGAAUGCCCUUUGGGGGCCUUUUGUGGAGCCUAUAUAGAGCAAAGUUUCCAUGUGUAUAAAAACCUGUUCCUCUGGGUCAAUACGAUCUGAGUCCAAAGGUUCUUCACACAUUUUUACUAGAUGUGUGACCCUGGGCAAGCCACUCAGUGUCUGAGCCUUCUUUUCUUCUGUUCGCAAUGCUAGGCUCAGACUCGGUGACCUGUAGGGUUUCUUCCAGUGAGAGACAGGGAGAAGAAAGGGAAGUUAGGAUUUUAGACCUGGGAUGUGUCUGGGAGGCACCUCGGGGCCAUUUAAUAGAGUCCUCUGUUGGAAGGAGAACUACUGGAGUUUGCAUCUGAACUCAGCAUUUUAAUAUAAUGGAGUUGGACUAAAUGACCCAUUGGGUUCCUUACAGCUCUAAAGCUAUGGUCACAGACAUAAUAGAGAUAAAGAAAAGACUUCUUGUUUAUGGGUGGGAAAUAGCAUAAGGAGUUUUAUCCUGUGCAAGUCACUUCACGUACCUUAACCACAGUUUUCUCUCCUGUCAAAUGCUGGUGUUGCACUUGAUAGUCUCCCAUUGACCUACAGCCAAAUGGUGCCGGGAGGGCAGAGGGCAAGCAAGCCCUGGCACUGAUGCCAUGUGUGUAUGUUGGAAUGAGAAUAACAGUCAUCUUGCCACAUCUUGAUGGCCUAAAAUGUAGAAAUUCCCCAGCUCCCUGGGUGCCCUGAUACCAGAGAAUCCCCCUACAAGGACAGGGUCAAAGUCUUAUCCACUGUGGUGACAAGUACUUGCUUUCCUUGGAUAAGAGACCAUGCAUUUUUGUCCAAAAUGGCUCCUUGUUCAAUUUUAAUAAAAUUUGGUGCCUUCCCCUUAUCUUCUACCCUUGAAUAAAGAGUAUAUUCAUCUUAAUGAACAUGAGAAACAUUCAUUAAGUACCUACAACAUGUCAGGGCCCAUGUUAAACCCUGGAGAUGUAAAGAAAGGUGAAAGGCAGCUCUUCAGGAGCUCCCAGUCUAAUGGCACAGACAACAAGCCAACAGCUAUGGAGGAGCCUUGCUGAGAAUGGAGACCAUUGCAGGCCUGGGGGACAGCCACUGAUAAUGGUUAGAGUCAGAAGAUGGAACGUGUUGUUCCGAGAAAAAGGAGGCCAUUGUCACUGCAUUACAUAUGCAUUAUAUUGGGGGAGUGUAAGGUGAAAGGAGACUGGAAAGGCGGCUGGUCAGGAAGGGCUUUGAAAGCCAAGCAGAGGCUUUUAGACCUCAUUCUGGAAGCUUUGGGGGUCCCUGAGUAGUGGCCCUGCUGGGCCAGGCUGGGCCAGCCGGCUGGCUGAGCAGCCGAAUGGAGGUUGGAGUGGAGGAGGGUGAUAAUGGAGGCGGGAAGAGCAAUAAAAAGGGUCUUUCAGUGGCCCAAUAUGAGAUGAUGAGGAAGUGCCCCAAGGUGGGGGCAGUGUCACAGGACAGAAGUGUCACUUGUGAGAGGUGUGCAGAAGGUAGAAUGGACAGGCCUUGGCAAUAAAUAAAUAAAUAAAUAAAUAGAUAGAUAGAUAGAUAAUAAAUCCUUUGGUUUUCCUUAACACCCAAAUUUCCCCCCUUUUCUCCAUCUAUAUAAACAGGAGCCCAUCCUCUUGGUUCUCUUCCUCUCUCUCUCUUGUGAAACGCUUGUUGUUGAAUGUUGCUUAUUGUCAUUGUGUUUUGCGUGCAUGGAAGAUUGUGAAAGCCCAGUUUCUUCCUUAGAAAGCUGUAGCUGCUUCCCUUCAUGGAGAGUAGUCCUUCUCUGCAGGUUAGGGAGAGUAGAUCCCCCACAUGCAGGUAACUGACAGGACUCCAACCUGUUGGUGAGUUAGGGCCUGAUCCUCUCAAAGCUGGAGCCAUUGCUGUGCAGGGCCCAGCGCUUCAGAAAUACCAGGGCCAUUGCUGGUCCUCCUGACCUUUGUCCUGCCUCUGGACCGAAGUGACGAAGAGAGACAAGCUGGCAACAUUCUGAAACUGUGCCUCACUGAAAUCCAAUUCAUGUGCAAGUCAACUCAUCCCCUCUCAUCCACUAUUUUGCUUCAUAUGAUAUCCUUGGUCCCCUUCGAAAAUGAAGGAUGAACAACAACAAGAAGUAGGGAUGCUUUUAGUUUAGCUUUCUAUCUCUGUUCUAGGGUCUCUGGCUGUUGUGCUUCUAGAAGGAGGUUGAGAGAAUGAUCCAAGUGUUUGAGGUUAGAAGGCUGGUCAGUGUAGUUCACUCUGAGUUGAUGGAGUGAUGGGACACUUGGGAGUGCUGAAGUGCGCGUAUAAUACAAUUUUACCUUUAUGAACAGUCUCCCAUGGUACUGUCACUCUUCUACUCAUUGAGUGGUUAAGAGUGGAUUUUAUGCAAGUUUCUUUGGUCCAAAGUAGACGAGUGAAACUUGUAGAAAAGGUGGUGAUUCAGGUGUUUGUUGGUUGUGGCUUCAGAGGAAGGGCAGUUUUGUGCCAGGGAAUUGGUUUAGUUGUGAACUCUUGAUCCCGGCUGGGACCAUCCAUCUUGGUAGCUAUACCUACUUCUCAAGGUUUCUCUUCAGCAGGUAGAGAGGAAAGAUGUAGGGAUCUUGUGCCUCAAUAGGAGGAACACUUCCUUUGUCUUGCCAGCGGAAGAGCUGGGAUGAAGACUUCAGAUGGAACCUUUUGCUUCUUGACCUCAAGAGAAAUCCUUCAUUCCCCCAUGAAAUUAAGAGAAGGCAUUUGCUAGGGUUGCAUGUGUGCAUAAAUGAAGAUGGCCAGUGAUUGUGUGAGUGAAUGUAGAAGCUCAAACACGUCACGAGGCGAAACACUUGUAAAGACUUGAAUUAGGCCAAUGGUUUGGUCUCCUGGCAGUGAGAAUCUCUGGCAAUCACUGAUUUCUUAGCUAGCUGAGAACAUAGUAUACCUAGAGUCCUCCUGCCUAAAAGAGUCUCCAAUAGUGUAGACCCUUUGGGAAAAUUAGACCCAAGGAGAAACCAAACAAAUAAUCACAAUCCUAGAACUUCUCUUGCCUCAGAAUUUUCCCUUACCAACUUAUUUUAUGUCCUUGAAAAGGGAGCUUAGACCUACAAUAAAAGAUUUAGUGUCCUGAGACUUAGGAGAGGAUGAGCAGUGCUUUGAGUGUGCUUGGUUGUUCUAUGUGGCAUAGAGUAUAUGCUGUCAAUGUUGUCUGUACUUUGUGUCCUUGUAAGUCAAGCUGAACUUUUUCCUAGGGUCUGAUCAGCCAAAGGAAAAAGGGUGAAAGGGGCAAGAUCUCGUUAUUGAAAAUUUCCAAACUUUGAAUGGAUAUCAUCUUAUCCCUGUAUUCCUAAUUCUGGCCAAGUUAGGAAUAUGGGUUGCAGGGGGAGGAGAGGGAAAGGGGAAAAGCUCAUUCAUGUCUAUUUCAGAGAGAGAGAAAGAGAGACUGGAGGAUUCUUUUUUGAUUUGCGGAAAUUUGUGAAAUUGCAAACUAACUAGAGAAGAAAUUUAUAAGUUAAAUGUAGUCCGUUUAAUGUGCUCUUCCAAAUUCUGACAAGAAUUGAAUAUUCAUAUAUAUAUAUAUAUAUAUAUAUAUUUCUAUAUCUUAUUGGCUUUUUUCAGAUGAAGUAUCUUAGAGCUGCCAAAAAUGGAGAUUCGGUGGAAUCACAUAGAAAAUUCAUUCUAAUCCCUAUACCAUUCUUUUCCUUCCUUGGAAGACUGAAGGAUUUAUUGCUUUUAUGGAGGGAAGGUGAUUUCAAUGAGUAGGAGAUUUUCAGCCCUUAGUAGAAUUGAAGCUAGUUUUGUCUCCAGUGAUUCCAAAAGUGGCAAAAAAAAAAUAAGGCAGUCAAUUUGUACUUUGAAGUUUUAAAGCAUUAUCUAACAUUUAAGAAAAAGCUAGUGCAGUAAUGCACUAGAAAGAAAGCCUUUUUUAAAUCAGAAUGCAAAAUGGAGUAAGGGAAUAAGGAAUUUCAUUUUGGGAGAGUAGUUUAUCUGACUUCUCUGGUCUUCUGUGACUCAUUUAACUGAAUCUAAUUGCUGAGAUAAAUAAGAAGCAAAGUCACUGAAAAAGAAUUAAGACGGAAUAUUUUUUUUAAGCUUUUAAUUAGAGAACCAAAUUGGAAGGGUUUUCUCGGUAGAAAGAGAAACUCUCUGUAAACCCUGAAAUUUUAAAUUUUGAUCAGGGAUAAAUAAAGUUUUAAACUGAAUUGGAGAUGUACAAGGAAAAUGUGCUUAAGUUGCAGAGCAGAGAUUUAGGUGAUUAGAGAAAUUAGUCCCAAGAUGGUCCGAGACAUGCUUUGGAGGGAGAGAGGUACGAGAUUGAGAAAGUCACAGUGAAGGAAGGAAGGUGCAGCAGUAGACCAGGUGUGCUGAGAGGCAGUUCUAGGGUGUGUAGGGCUCAGUCUAGUUUAAUCCCAGUCAGAACAGAGAGAGGACUGCGCCUUUCUUAACAUCUCUUAAGUAUUCCCCCCUUCUGUCCUCUGACAUGGCCCCCACUCUUGUCCAGAGCCUCAUUACCUAAUAUCUGGACUAUGACAAUAGUGGCUCUGCUCCAGGUCUUCCCCUUCUACUCCACCCUCCAUUGGGCCAAGAAUGCUUUUCCUAAAGCACAGGUCCAAUCAUGUUCCCUUUGCUCAGUAAGCUUCAGUGGCUUCCUACUGCCUUCAGAAUCUAACAAAUAAUAUUUUCUUAGCAGACCAGAUCUCUUCCCCAGUUGCCCUUCCUGCAUUUGCAGUCUUGUUCUACUUUAUUCUCCUCCACCUCCUCUGGGUGCAGCGACAUUAUCUUCCUUGCUGUACCUUGAAUGUGAAUCUGUCCCCUGACUAUUCAUAUUUUCAAUGGCUUACCACCAUGAUUGUAAUGCUCUACGUGCUCAGUGUCAUGGUGGAUGGUCCCCUGUCCUUGGGGUCCAGACUGUUUGUGUUCUCAUUCUGACUCACACCGUGGCAAGUCAUGUUACUUGGGGAAAGUCAAUCGACUUCAUUCAGUCUCAGUUUCCUCUUCUGUAAAAUGAUGGGGCUGGAUGUGACGUAACUUUGUAGCUCUGUGACCCAGUAGAUGAGAGAACGAGAAAAAAGAAAGCCCCUCCCCUCCACUGUUAAUUUGUGAGUUAGAGAGAGUUGGAGGGAAGCCAGCAGUGAGGAAGAUCAGAGAGAAGCAAUGAGGCCUGGGGGCAAUGCGUGAAGUGACACAGGCUCCUAGAGGACACAUCACUGUUGUGGACGGUCCUGAGGCCCCAAGUUCAAAUUCUGCUUCACAACAUGCUUAGUCGUUGUGUCAUGCUGGGAAAGUCACCACUUGUCUAAGCUGCUUUCUUCUUCUUUAAAAUGAUGGAGUUGGACUCAGUAGCCCUUAUGGUUCAUUCCAGCUCAAAAUGUCAGAUAAUCUCAGUAACCAAGAGCUUAUGCAAAGCUUUCUUCUUGUUUAAGAUGAUGGAGUUGGACUCAGUAGCCUUUAUGGUUCAUUCCAGCUCAAAAUGUCAGAUAAUUUCAGUGACCAAGAGCUAAUGCAAAGCUUUCUUCUUGUUUAAAAUGAUGGAGUUGGACUCAGUAGCCUUUAUGGUUCAUUCCCGCUCAAAAUGUCAGAUAAUUUCAGUAACCAAGAGCUUAUGCAAAGCUUUCUUCUUGUUUAAGAUGAUGGAGUUGGACUCAGUAGCCUUUAUGGUUCAUUCCAGCUCAAAAUGUCAGAUAAUUUCAGUGACCAAGAGCUAAUGCAAAGCUUUCUUCUUGUUUAAAAUGAUGGAGUUGGACUCAGUAGCCUUUAUGGUUCAUUCCAGCUCAAAAUGUCAGAUAAUCUCAGUGACUAAGAGCUAAUGCAAAGCUUUCUUCUUCUUUAAAAUGAUGGAGUUGGACUCAGCCCUUAUGGUUCAUUCCAGCUCAAAAUGUCAGAUAAUUUCAGUGACCAAGAGCUAAUGCAAAGCUAAAGCUAAAAUGAUUUUUAGAUUAGAGGGACAAUAGGGCAAAAAGCUUCUGAGUAGCACAUUGAGAGAAGAAGUAUAUUUUCUGUGGACAGUGAGUUUUCUGAGUGGACUGUCCUUGGAAGUUUAGAGCUGAGUUCAAAUCCUACUUCAGAAUUCAAAUAAAUAUUUGCCCUGGGUAAUUCAUUUAAGAGUGUCUAAACCUCUCUUCCCUUUGAGAUAAUAUAGUUGAGUGGGAUGAGCCUCAUGAUUCCUCCCAGGUCUAAAUCUAUGAUCAUAUUAGUGAUGGAAAGAGAAAUAAAAAAGCAUAGUUACUAUUGAGUGGAAAUGAUAGUAAGAAUUUUGAGGAAGAAGGGAGGGAGGAAAGAAGCUGAAAGAGAGAGGGACAAAGGAAGAGGGUGAAGGGGGGUGGGAGAGGAGAGACAGAAUCAGAUAACCAGCUAUAGACAUGAGACAGAGGCAAAGAGCAAAACCAAAAAUAAAAGGCGAAAAAAGACUCCUUCAAAAGGAGCAAAGAAAUGUGGGAACAGACCAUUUUGGAGGAUAGUGAGAUAAAAUGAGGAGAUGAAAAACAAUGUAAAGGAAUAGAAUUCUUAUGAAACGUGGUGUAAAUUAGCUAGGUACCAUAAUGGUCAAAACAUUUUAUUUCGAAUACUGUUUGAGAUUCAAUUACAUAUUGGGUCCUGACAAAUUGUGUACCCUGGAGAAGUCCCUUAACCAGUCUCAGCCUCAAUUUUUAUCUCAGUCAAUUUAUGGGGCUGAACUUGACGGCCCAGGGUGAUCCUCUGCUUAUAAGAGAAUGAAAUCCCAUUUGGGAUUAAUCUUGGAUUAGAGAGAGACAAAAUUAGAGGGAAUAGGUCAUUGAGGAAGAAGGAAAACAAAGGCAAGGGUCCCCAGGAAAUGGAUGUGUGAGGAUUAGGGGAUUACAUAGAAUUAAACAGAUAUCCUAGUGGACUGUUUUAGGAAGUUUGAAGGAUUUGAGUUCAAAUCCUAGUUAACAUUUGUAAUAAGUGUUUGGGUAAUUCAGUUAGAGUGUUAACCUCUGUCCUAUGUUAUAUUAUCAUAGAGUUGGACUUCAUGGCCCCUUGGGUUCCUUUCAACUCUAAAUCUAUGAUUAUAUCAAUGAUUGUGAUAAAAGGACAAAAGCUUUAUUUACUGAUAAAAUUAGAAGAUACAAAAGCUUUUGAGGAGGAGAUAGAUCCAAGGAUAAGAGGGACAGCCAGAAUCAGAAAGAAAGAGAAAACAAUAAGAAAGAAUAAAGAGAGGUUGAGAAGAGACAGAUAUAUGUAUAUUAUGCGCACACAGGAAGAUAGAGACAGAAACAGAGAAAGCGAGAGACAAUUCUGGGAAAUCAAUUUGAGUGACUAAGCUACUUGCUUCUAUUAUAGUAUAAUGGAAUUGGAUUCACUGGCACCUAAAGUUAUUUUAGUUUUAAAUUUAUGAACAUAAUCAUGAAAGGGGAAAAAGAAAAUAGUAGUUAUUAUUGGGUGGGAAUUAGAGUAAUGAGAAAAAGCUUUUGAGUAAGAAAGAAAGAAGAGCUGGAGAAAGAGAGUAAGAGAGGUGGAGAGAAUCAUAUGAUAAUGAAAGAAGGAACCAUUAAGAAUGAAAAUGAAGAAUAAAAUAUAAGAAAUCAAAAGUGAGGUAGAGAUGCAUAAGGAAGAGACACUUGGUUUGUGUAAAACAGACUGGGCAAGUGUCCUAGUGGAUAGAAUUUAGAAUUAGCUUUCUGAAUUCAAAUCAACCAGAGCUGCUGACAAGCUCUGUUUCUCUGGGGAAGUAACUGCUGUCUGACUCAGUCUUCUAUUUAGUAAAAUCUUGAGACUGCACUUGAUGGCAUCUAACAGUGUUAAAGUUUAAUGAUCCUAUGGGUGGCAGAGAUAGCAAAGAAAAUCCUUGUGGACUUGUGUUACAGAAGAAAGAGUUAAAGGGUAUAGGGCACAGGGAGGGGAGAGAUACAGAGAAGGGGCAACUGGGAAAUAAGGUUGGUUAGAAUAUGUUAGAGAAGAGAGAAAUGAAAAAAAUUUAGAGAGUGGCAGUAAGAUAUUAAAAGGAAGUCACGGAUAGAUGUAGGAAGAAAAACAGAGAGAGGAAGACACAAGAUGGAGAGAGACAGAACCACAUGACAAUGAGCAAUGGAGUGAGGGGAAAAAGCCCUCACCAAGAAAAAUGAGGAAUAGAGAAAAUAGACUUUAUAGUCAGGUAGAAAUACAAAGGGAAGAGGCUCCUGCAGGUGUAGAGCAACCCAGCUUGGUAUCUUAGUAGUUAGAACACCCUUCUUAGAGGGGACCUGCUGGGUUUAAGCCUCCCCUCAGCUGUCCAUAAGCUAUAUUCCUCUGCAGAAGUCACAGUCAGCCUCAGUUUUGUCUUAAUUAUAUACUUAUUUGGCUGGCUUUGAUGGUGACUCUGAGCAUCUGGCUGCCAGAGAGAAAAGUAUGCUUACUUGGCUAUCAGCUUGCAAGAGAGAGAGAGAGAGAGAGAGAGAGAGAGAGAGUUGGACAUCCUCAGCCAUUGAGGGUGGUGAGCCAGAAGGAUGAGUUCACAGGAAAUAGAAGUGUCUGCAGUGAGGACAGUAUGGAGACCAAAACAGCCAAUUCUCCUAGAGGACUGUUUCUGUAAGUCAGAAAGUCCUGAGUUCAAAUCCUAGGUAACAUUAUUAACAUUUGUCGCUGGGAUAUUCAGUUUGAGUGACUAAGCUACUUGCUUCUAUUAUGGUAUAAUAGAAUUGGACUAAGGGGUCCCUAUGGUGGAUUCCCGCUUUAAAUAAAUGAACAAAGUCAUGAAAAAGAAAAAAAAUUAGUUAUUAUUGGGUAGGAAUUAGAGUAAAUUGAAAAUGCUUUUGAGGAAGAGACAAGAGAUGGGAAAAAGAGAGAAAACGAGGGAGGGAAGAAUGAAAGGAGAGAGGGAAGGAGAAAAAAAAUAGAGAAUGGCAGUAAGAUAAAUGUAGAAAACAGACAGAUGAGCGAUAUACAGGAAAUGAGAUACAACCAAGAGAGACAUUGAUUCAGAGGGAGAGACAGAGAUAGAAAGACAGUGACACACAGGGACAGAAAAGAGAAAUAUAGAGAUAAAGUCAGAGAGAGAAAGAGAAAAUAGAGACAAGAGAGAGAAACAGAGAAAGUGAACCCUUUGAUAACAGGCAAACGAAUAUAUGAAGGGCCAUUUUUCAGGACAGUGAGCAACUGAGCAAGGAGUUAAAAAAUUGUAAAGGGAUAGAACCUCCUAAAAACUGUGGGGCAAACUAGUGAGGUUUCCUAGUAGUUAGUUUAGAGCAUUAUACUUGGAGUUGACUGAAUUUCAAUUCCACAUCAGGGGCUGACAAGCACUUACUUUCAAAAAUCCUUUAAUCACUGUCAGCCUCAGUUUUCAUUUCAUUCAACUUACGGGGUUGGACUUGAUGGUUUUAAUGACCCUCCAGCUCCAAGAUUCUCUGGGUGCCAGAGAAUGAAAAACAUGUUCAUUUGAGCUUAAUCUUGACUUAGAGAAAGACAGGGAAAAUCAAUCACUGAAAAUGAAGAGACAGAAGCAAGUGUCCAUCGAAAAAAGUAAUAUGGGAAAAUUUAGGGAAAUAUGAAGAGUCAACAGCUAGAUAUCUUAGUGAACUCUUCUUGGAAAUCGGAAGGAUCUGAGUUCAAAUCCUAGUUAGCGUUUAUAAUAAGUGUUUGACUCUGUGUCAUUCAGUUAAAGUAUCAGCCUCUGUCCUCUCUUAUAUAAUCACAGAGUUGGACUCAGCGGCUUCUUGGAUUCCUUCUAGCUCUAAAUCUAUGAUCAUAGUUAUGAUAGUGCAGAUAAAAAAGAACAGUUAGUAUUGAGUAGAAGUAGAGUAAGGGAAAAAGUGUGAAGAGGAAAUAGAAAGAAGAGAGUUAGGGAGAGAUGCACACACAUCCAGAGGCCAAGAGACAGAGAAAUAGAGGAUACUGAGUGUCUAAGCCUCUAAUUCUCUGUUGUACUACAAUGGAGUAGGGCUUAGUAGCCCUGAGGCUACUUACAGCUCUCAGUCUUGGAUCCUAUUGAUGAGAGGGAGCAAAAGCUUAUUUAAGGGGAAUUAGAAAAAGGAAAAAAGCUUUUAAGGAGGAGAGAGAAAGGGAGGGUUUGAGAGAGAGCUGGAGAAAGAAAAUAAUGGAAUGAGAUAGAAUUAGAGACAAAAUUAGAGAAUGGCAGUGAUAUAGAAAAAGAAAACCAGGCACAAAUAGAGCAAGAGAGAUAGCGAUAGUCUCACACAGAGACACACAGAUAUUGAACUAAGGAGUGAGAGAAGAGACCACUAUGGAGGAAAAUACGUAAUAGAGAUAAGAGACCAAAGGAGAAAUGCAAAGGAAAGAGACAGCCAGCAAGUGUAGAAGCAGCCAAAGAGGUGUCAUAGUGUUAGAGCACUCUGCAGGGAGUUGAGUCAUUGAAUUAAAAUCCCUUAUCAGCUGCUGACAAGCUCCGUUACUAUGGAGAAGUCAUGUAACUACUGUCAGCCUCAAUUUUCUCCUCAAUAAAAUGAUGGGGCUGGACUUGAUGGUGUCUAAUGACGCUUCAGCUUCAUGAUGCUGUUUCCAGAAAGAGAAAAGAUUGUCCCCUUGGGACCUAGGCAGGAGAAGAGUAAAUGGGACACGCAGGAGGAGAGCUAUCUAGAAGUGAGACCAGUGGGAAGGGGAGUAGAAGAAAACUUUCCCACUGGACUUGGAAGUCCUGGGCUCAAAACCUACUUCUCAUUGUAAGAAAUGUUUGACCCCAGGCAAUUCAUUUAGAGUGUCCAAGCCUCUGUCUGCUAUUAUACUAUAAUAAAGAGCUGGACUCAAUGGCCGCUAAGGUUCCUUCCACCUCUCAAUCGGUGAUCAUAUUUAUGAUAAAGAGGAAGAGAAAAGAUCACUUAUUAAUGAAUAGGAAUUAGAGUAAGGAAGAAAAAGCUUUGAAGGAGGAAGGAGCGAAAGGCAGAAGUAAAUUGAAGAGAGACAGAAACAGAAAGAGAAAGGAAAAUCUAGACAGAAAAAGAAAAGACCCCUUAUUACUGGGUCGGAAUAGUAGCAAGGAAAGGAAAGCUUUUGAGGGGGAUUGGGAGAGGAAGAAGAAGAUGGAAAGAAUCAGGGAAAGAGAGAGGGAGAGACAGUGAUAGAGGGUGAGAGACAGAAAUACAGAGAGAAAAUCGUAUCAACAAAGAUAGACAAAGGUAUAUAUGACAAAAGGUGGCAAGGCAUCGGAGGACACCACAUUAAACUUUGCAUUUACAGUUUGAAUUUAAAUGCUGCCUUAUGGGCUGACAGGCUGAUUCUAAUGAAGUCACUUAAACACUGUCAGCCCGAGAUUUCUCCUCAUUAAAAUCAUGGGGCUGGAUUUGAUGAUAUCUAAUGACAGUCCAACUCUGUGAUGAUACGGGUAUCAGUGCGAGAAAAGCAGGUCACCUUGGGAUUCCAAUAGGUAGUGAGAGUUGGAAGAAAUUCUGAAUGAAUGAGGAGAGAGACCCAGAGAAGGCCCUCCUGGAAAGGGGGAUGGUAGAAGGCGUGUCUCACCGAGCUAUGACUCAGUGAGCUCUUGUUGGAAGGCAGCAAUCCCUGACGCCAAAUCCUGCCUUGCACUCACUUGCACGGUAGCCUUGCUUGCUGCUGUUCAGUCAUUUCAAUCCUGUCUGACUCUCUGUGACCCCAUUUGGGGUUUUCCUGACAGAGAUGCUGGGGUGCUGGGCAGGUCGCUUAAAUUAUCCAAGCCUCACGUAUCUGUGCUCUGCAGUGCUAUGGGUGGAGUCCAUACCCCCAAAAGAUUCCCUGCAGCUUUUAUCUCUGUUAAUAUGGGAGAUAAAGAGCCAGGGAAAGGACCAUAUAUUGUUCAUUGGGAUUCAAAAUAAGAGUCUAGGGUUUUAGGAGGGCAGAGAUACGGUAGUAAGAAGGAAAACAAGGAAGAACAAGAAAGGAGAAGGCUAGUGGGAUGUGAUGCAAAUGUGGGUUAGAUUGAGGGAUAGAUUUGGGAGUCGGGAAUAAGUUAAGGUUAGGAUUAGUGAGACAAAACUGGAAUAGGAGAAAUAGUGACAUAAAGAGAAAUAAUAUAGAAUGAGGAAAACAGACCUCUUGGUCAUUGUCAAGGGAGUAUGGAAGAGGUCAGAAGAUAGGGAGGUGAGAGACAGAGGCAGAAGCCCAAAGUGAGGGAUAGACAGCUUCAGUGGGGGCUGGGAGAGAGACAGCAAAGGGUAUAAAAUCAGGCAGUUAUUCAGCAAGCAUUUAUUGAGCUGGUAAAUGUACCAGGCAGCACACUAUGCCCUGGGAAUACAAAUAUAAGAAGACAAAAAUAGAAUCUCUGCCCUCAGAGAAAUAAUUGCAGCAGUGGAAGGUAGCUUAGUAAAGAAAGCUGAAAAUUGAAUGUGGCUGUGGGGGAGGAGCGUAGCCAGUGUGGGAACAAGAUGGAGAUUUUCCAAGUAUAUCUUGGCAGGAGAGGUAGAGCUGGGUGCCAUGGGGGGGAUCCAUCUAUUCAUAGAGAAAUGUCCUAGGUCUGAUGGUUCUUCUGAGGGGUAAAUUCUAGUUUAGAAGAGGUUUCUAGGAAGAAGAUGCUCCUGAAAGAAGUCCUGAAGAAAAAUGAAGAGCACUAGAUUUUGGAGUUGUAAGUAUCUGAUUUCCCUGGGUCGGUUACCUAGGUAACAUAUUAAUCUCCCCUGGAAAGGAUUUCCUCCUCUGAAGAAUGGUGCCUCUCAAUUGGAUGGAUGGCCUGUUAGUUUCCUUCCAGCUCAAUAUGCCUGGCAAUAAAGGCAAAAGAACUCCCUUUUGAUUCUGGAAACAGGAGAUAGACAUUGAAGGAAUAGACCAUAAAAUAGAGGGGUGACAGUCAGAGAGAAAUAGAAAGAGAAUCACUUGACAAUGGGCAAAAAAGUAAGGGAAGAGAUCAUUGUGGAGGACAGUCAAUAAUGGAGGAAGACCAUAGAUGAGCAAGGUAAAGUCAAGGGCACAUAGCUCAAUUUUAGGGUAAUCCAGCUAGGAGUAAUCAAACUUAUAUAUAACUAUAUGUAGUUUAAAUCCCACAUUGACUGCUGACAAGCUUUGUUACUCUGGAGAAAUGAUUGUUAGCCUCAGUUUUUCGUUUAGUAAAAUCAUAGGGCUGUAUUUGAUGGUGUCUAAAGACGCCCAAGCUCUGUGACCUUUUAUGUGUCAGAGAGCAUAGAAAGCCCUUAUCUACUUGGAGUGGCAGAAGAAAAUGAGAGAGAAUAGGACAUAAAAGAAUAGAGACAGAAGGGACAGCUGCCAAAGUGGCUGUGAAGGAUGUGUAUUUCACACAUCUAAUUCCCUUAGUGGUCUGAGCUUUGAUAUCUUGUUGAGCUGAGGUCAAAUCCUCCUUAACAUUCUAUAGUAUUACUUGAAACUGGGCGAUUCAGUUCGAGUAUCUAAGCCUCUGUUUCUAGUAUUAUAACUAAAUGGAGUUGGAUUCAGUAGCCCUUAAGGUUCCUUCCAGCUACAAAUAUAUGAUCAUCUUGCUUAUAAAGAGAAAAAGAAAAGACCACUUAUUAUAAGAUGAAAAGGAAAGAGUAGGAGACAGGUAGAUCAGAGAAAGAACUCCACUCCAUUGAAUAGGGCAGUGAGAGAUAGCUUCAGUAGUGGGGGAUGGGAGAGAGACAGCUCAGGGUCUAGAAUGAGUCACUUAUUCGGCAAUCAUUUAUUGAACUGGUAAAAUGUUCCAGGCAGUAAACUAUGCCCUGGGAAUAUCAAUAUAAGUAGAUAAAUUAGAAUCUCUGCCUUCUGAGAAAUAAUUGCAGGGGUGGUAGUAAAGGAAGCUGAAAAUUGAGUGUGGCUGUGGGGGAGUAGUGUAGCCAGUAUGGGAACAAGAUAGAGAUAUUCUACGUAUAUGCUGGCAGGAGAGGUAGAGCUAGGUGCCUUGAGUGCCCUCCAUAAAGGCAGGUGCUAGGAGUAGCCAUCCAUUCAGAGAGGUGCCACAGGUCUGAUGUUCUUCUGAGGAGUAAAUUCUAUGCCAGAAGAGAUUUUCCCCUGAUAAGGGGUUUCUGGGGUCUGGUGGAGAAAUCGAGAAGAAAAAUGAAGAGCAUUGGAGUUUGGAAUCAUAAAUACAUGGGUUUAAAUCCCACCUCAGGUAAGUUACCGGUAAAAUAAGAUUUCCUGCUCUGAAGAAUGGUGGUUCUCAAUGCGAUGGAUGGUCUGUGGCUACCUUUCAACUCACUAUGCCUGGCAAUAAAGGCAAAAGAACCCCCUUGUGAUUCUGGAAAGAGGAAAGACAAAGACAUGAAAGGAAUAAACCACUGAGUACAGGAGACACACAGAGAUAAAAGACAAAUUAGAAUCGGGCCUGGUUUAGGGAGGGGAAGUUAGUUGUUCCCGAGAAGGAGAGAAAGAAAACCACUUAAUGAGAAGGGAGUGACGGAAGAUACUAUUGUAGAAGACCAUGUUAAACUGAGGAAGAAGAUCUUAGAUGAAAGAGAAAUGGAAAAGUAGGGAGAGCGCUCAGUUACAGGAUGAGCCAGCUAGGAGUCAUAGUGGGUAGCACAUAUUUGCAAUUGCCUAUUUGACUGCCAAUCCCACAUUGACAGCUGAAAAAUUUUGUUGCUCUGGAGAAGGCUUUUAACUAUUGUAAGCCACUGUUUUCUCCUCAUUAAGUAUAUUGGGUGGGAUGUGAAAGUGACACAACAAUGAUAAGAUCCUCUGGAUUCCAGAGAGAAAAGAAUAUGAAAUAGACAUAGAUUUAGAGAGAAUCUGAUAUUGAGGAUGAGGAGGAAAAAUGCAUCCACAGAAAAUAGACUUUAUGUAUUAUUCAUCAAAUAUGUAGAUGCAACCAACAAGAUCACCUACCUAACUCUAGGAAAUGAGGGUGAUCUGGAUUCAAAUCCUAUUUCACAUAUUAAUGUAUUAUGCUGGGCAGUUUAUUUCAAUUAUCUAAGCCUCUGCCCUCUCUCAUAGUACAAUGGAGUUGGACAAAUUGACCUCUAAGGUUUGCUCCAGCUCUAAUUCUGUGAUCAUAUUGAUUAUAAGGAUAAAAAGGAAAGAUCCAUUAUUACUGACUGGGAAUUAGAGCUAAGACUAAAAGCUUUUGAGUGAGAGAGGAAAAAACAGAUGGGACGAUGGAAGGGAAGAGGGAGAAAGGAAAAUAGAGAGAGGAACACAUAGAUAUUAAGAGAAACUGAGAAAGAUAAGAGAAUGAAAAACAGAGGUACUUAGAUAGGGAACCAUAUGAUAAUGUACGAGGGAGUGAUAGAAAAGAAUUAUGGAGGAAAAGAAGAAACAGGAGAUGAAAGAUAAGGGAGAGAUGUAAAGGAAUGAAGGAACACCUAACAAGCAUGGGGCCAACCAACUCAACUCAUUUAACCAACUCAACUCUUGAGUGUUUAAACCUCUAUUUCGCCUAUUCAAAUUAAUUGGGUUUGAACUCAGUGGCCCCAUAGGCUCAUUCCAGCUUUAAAUCUAUGAUCAUAGUUUUUUAAUAGGUAGAAAAGAAAACACUAAUGAGUAUGACAGUAAAAGGAAAAAGACUUUUGAGGAAAAGAUUAGAAGGUGAAGGAAAAGAACCGAAUCAGAGAAAGAAAGAGACAGACAAUACAGAAUGAAAGAAAGGGAUAAGAAGAGCAAGUUGGCAGUGAGCUAUGAAGUGAAAUACAGAGACAGAAGGGAGAUAUGGAGAUGGAAAUAAAAAAACUGAUAAUGAGUAAUAGAAUAAGGGAAGAAUUAAUAAUUAGCUAAAUGAAUAAAGAGAAAAGACUCCAGGUGAUAGAUGCACAGGGAAGAGACACCUGGCAUGUGUAGAACAUAACCAAUUAGGUGUCUUGGUGAAUACAGCACUACUUGGAAUUGAGUUUAAAUAUUAGACAAACUCUGUUCCUUUGGAGAAGUCAUAUAAGUAUUUGCCUCAGAUUUCUCCUCUCUAUAGGGCUGGAUUUGAUGGUGUCUAAUGAUGCUCCAGCUCUCUGAACCUCUACAUUUGAGAGAGAGGCAAAUCUACUUGAGAUUUAGCCUGAAUAAAGAUAAACAGGUAGCAGGAAUCAGGCUUGAGGAUAAGAUGAAGACAAGGAAGGGUUCCCAGGAAAUAGUAGAUAUGAGGGAGUAAUAUGUAGAGCCAAAGAACCAGGUUUCCUAGCGGACUCUUCUUCGAAGUCAAAAGACCUGAGUUCAAAUGCUAGUUCAAAUAUUUACAGAAAGGGCAAUGCAAUUAGAAUGUCUAGGGCUUCUCUCUGUUGUUAUAUUAAAAUAGGACUGAAUGACAUCUAAUGGUAAUUUCAGCUCCAAUUUUAAGAUUAUAGUCAUGAAAAAGGGUAAAUGAAAGACCAGGUGUUAUUCAGUGGGAAUUAGAGUGAAGGGAAAGCUUUUGAAAAGGAGACAGAGAUGGAAAGAGACACAGAAAAAUCCAGAGACCAGUUAUUCAAUGGGAAUUAGAUUUACAAAGGAAAAGCUUUUGUGAAGGAAAGAGAUAGGGGAAAAGAGACACACAGAAUAAGACAUGCAGAGAGAUAGAAACAAUUAGAGAAAAAAUAGAGACCAUUUAUUAAGUGGAAAUUAGAGUUGAGAAGGAAAGAGAGAUACAAAAAGACAAAUACAGAGAGACAGAGACCAGUUAUUCAGUAGGAAUUAAAGUUAAGAAGUAAAAGCUUUUGAGGAGAUAGAGACGAAGAGAAAGAGAGAAAAAAAAAAGACAAUCAGAGAGAGAUAGAAAAAUACAGAGACCAGUUAUUUUUCAGUGAAAAUUAGAUUUAAGAAGGAAAAGCUUUUGAGAAGACAGAAGUAAAGAGAGAGAAAGAGAUAGAUGGAAAAAGACGAAUACAGAGAGAUGCCAGUUAUUCAGCAGGAAUUAGAAUUAAGAAAGAAAAAGCUUUUGAGGAGACAGAAAAAUACAGAGUCCAAUUAUUAUUUAGUGGAAAUUAGAAUUAAGAAGGAAAAGCUUUUGAGAAGGAGACAGAAAGAAAGAGAUAGAGAAUGAGAGAGAGAAAAAUACAGAGACAAGUUAUUUUUCAGUGGAAAUUAGAGGUGAGAAGGAAAGAGACAGAGACAAAGAGACAGAUACAGAGAAACACAGAAAAAUACAGAAAACAGUUAUUCUGUGGAAAUUAGAGUGAAGAAGGAAAAGCUUUUGAGGAGAUAGAAACAGAAGAAGAGAGACAAGAGAAAGACAGAUAGAAACAAAGACAAAGACAGGCAGAGAGAGAAAGAGAUAGAGGCAUGGAGAAAUAAUAGAGAUAAAAUCAGAAAGAGGCCGAGACACAGAAACAGAAUGAGAUACAGAGAAAACCAGAGAUAUUGAGAUUUAGAAAAAGGGAAAUUGGAAAAGGGAAAGAAAACUUCAUCAUAAAGGCAAUGAGGGAAGAUAGCAUUUUGGUGGACAACAAUCAAUUGGUCUAGGAGACAAAAAGAUUGAAAGAGAUUUAAAGGGAUUUCCCUUGGGAAAUGUGGGGAAUCCAGAUCUAAGGUUUAGAGCAUUAUACUUCUGAGUUGACCAAAUUUCAAUUUCCCCUCAGGGGCUGACAGGGUGUCUUAUUCUCGAAAAGUUUCUUAACCACUGUCAGCCUCAGUUUUCAUGUCAGUCAUUUUAUGGGGAUGGACUUGAUGUUAUGUAAUAACCCUCCAGCUCCAUGAUCCUCUAGUUCCUGGAGAGUAAAAAUCAUGUCCAAUUGGGAUUAGUCUUGGAAGAGAGAGUGAGAGAGUUAGUGUGAAUCAGCCACUGGGGAUGAGAGGUAGAGAGGCAGGUGUCCUCAGGAAAUGGAAGUAUAGGGAGUUGGGGGGAAUAUGUAGAAUAAAACAGCUAGAUAUGCUAGGGAGCCUUCUUGGGAUUAUGAAUGAUCUGAGUUAAAAUCCUGGUUUUUUAAAAUAAAAAUUGUACCCUAGUAGUACAUUUAGAGUUGUAGCCCCUAUCCCGACUCAAUGACCCCUGGGCAUCCUUCUUGCUCUAAAUCUAAGAUAGUGUUUAUAAUAAGGAACAAAAGAAAGGGCCACUUAUUACUGAAUGGGAACGAGAAAAAGUCUUUGAGGAAGAUGUAGAGAGGAGAGAGAAAGGAAGGGAUAGAAAGAGACAAUUUAAGUGGCAGAGAUCUGGAAGGAAAUAGAAUGAUAGAUAGAAGCACAUUAUUAUUUAAAUAUAAAGAUAGUGGCAAUGAGAUAAGACACCAAUAGUUACAGACAGAGAGAGAGAGAGAGACUGAUGGACAAAUACACCCAUAUGAUAGAUAGCAGGGUAGUGAGGGAAGAGAUCAUUAUGGAGGAAAAUGAGAAAUAGAGAUGAGACCAAAAGUGAUAAGACACCUAGGAAGUAUAUAAUAUGCCAGCUAAGGGUCACAGUUACUAGGAUGCUCUACCAGAAGCUGAGCAUUUAAGUUUAAACUGUACCAUAGCUCUGACAAGCUUUGCUCCUCUGGUAGCCAGUAGGAGAAAAAGUGGCCACUUGGAAUUAAGCUUGAAUAGACAGAAAUAAAGUUAGAGGGAAUCAGGCAAUGAGAAGAGAAUUAAGACAGAAGAAAGCACUCCUAGGAAAUAGAAAUGUGUGCUGUGGGAGGACUAUAUCAAGGAAAACAACCAGGUCUCCUGGAAGUCAUAAUAAAUUCAGUUGCAUUCUACACCUCUCUCUGUUAUUUUACCAUAACAUAGAUCCAAUGGCCGCUAAGUUCUAGGGGUUCUUUUAGCUCUAAAGCUGUGAUCAUAGUUAUUAUAGAAAAAGAAAAGACCCACUUGUUUAUGUUUGGGAAUUAGAGUAAGGAGAAAGAAACAAGAGAGGGAUUCAGGGAGAAAGAGAAAUAGAGAGACAGAGAGUGGCAGGAAGAUAAAGAUAGAAAACCAGAGGCAGAUACAACAACAGGGACAUUAAUACAGAGUAAAGACAGAGAGAAUCCUAUGAUAAUGAAAAAGGCAGUGAGAAAAGAAAUUAAGCCAAGAAAACCAGCAGUAGAGCAGGGACACCAUUUAAAAGCAGGUUGGUGUCCCAAUAGUUAGGGCACAUCACAUGGGACUGCCUGACUCUUUGAUUUUAUAUCCCACUCCAGCCACUGAUGAGCUUUGGCACUCUAGGAAAUUAUGUAACCAGUGUCAGCCUCAGUUUUUUCUUUUGGUAAAAUCAUUGGGCUGGAUGUGAUGGUGUCUAAAGAGGCUUAAGCUCUCUGACCUUCUGGAUACUAGAGAGAACAAAGAAAUCUCAUGUAGACUUGGGACAGGAGAAGAGAAUUUGAAUUAGAGGGAAUAGUGCAUCAAAGAGAAUGGAGAUAUAGAGAAGAGACAAUUGGGAAGGGGGAUGGGAAUUACGUGUAUUCACAGAGAUAUAGAAACAGAAUGCGAUAGACACAGAUUUUAAAUAAAAUUAGAGUGGUAGUAAGAUGGAAACAGAAAACCAGAGGCAGAUACCAGAGGGAGAGAGAGACAUACAGAGAAAAAUAUAGAAUAAUGCACGAGGAAGCAUGAGAAGAGACCAUUAUGGAAGAAUAAGAAUAGACUAGAAAUAAGAGACUUCAUGUGAGGGACAGAUGCAAAGGAAAGAAGCACCUGCCAAGUGUAGAACAAGCCAUCCUGGCAUCCUAGUAGUUUGAGUACUACACUUGGGCAUCGACCUUUAAAUCCCAUCAUAUCCUCUGACAAGCUCUAUUAUUGUGGAUAUGUCACUUAAACACUGUCAGCCUUAGUUUUAAAUUUAUGGGUCUGGAAUUGAUGGUAUCUAUUGAACUUCCAGAUGCCAGAGAGAAAAAAAAGAUUUUCACUUAGUGUUAAGGUCAACUGGAUUAAGAUAUAAAUAAAAUCAGGCACUGAUAAUGAGAAAUAGAGAGAAAAAAAAUCCAGAGAAUAGAUGUGAAAGACCCGAGUUCAAAUCCUUGUUAUUCAGAAUAAAUAUUUGACUUUGGGCAAUUAAGUUAGAAUAUUUAGGCCUCUGCCUUCUGUUAUAGUAUAAUACAGUUAAACUGCAGUAAAUAUCUGAUCAUAGUCAUGAUAAGGGAAAAAGGAAAAAAACAGUUAUUAUUGGGUAGGAUUUAGGAUAAGAAAGAAAGAUUUUGAGUAGGAGAUAGAAGGGAGAGAAAGAUUGAGAGAGUGAGCAAGAGAUGGAAAGACAGACAAAUAGAGAUAAAGAUAUAGAUUGACAGCGAGGUAUUAAGAGAAACCCAUAAAAACAGAGAGAGAGAAGAAAGGAGAAAGGGGAGACAGAGAAACAGAAAAAGAGACAGAGAAGGAAGUGUAAAGGGGAGACAGAUUGAGAGAAUAAAAGAAGGAGGGAGAAAGGGGAGAGAGAUGGGCAAUAGAAACGGAUAUAGAUUGAGAAACAGAAUAAGACCAAAAGAUUAAGAGAAUAAAAGAAUGAGGGGCAGAGAGAGGAGGGAGAAAGGGGAAACAUUAAGGGGGAAACAGAGAGGGAGAGAUAGAGAUAGAGAUAUAAAAUGAGAAACAGAAUAAGAGAAAUUCGAGAGAAGAGAUUGAGACAAUAAAAGAGAAUGAGGAGUAGGGAGGGAAAAAGGGGAAACAGAUUAAGAGAUAGAGUAAAAGAGAAUGAGGGGGCAGAGAGAGAGAGUAAAAGAGAAUGAGGGGGCAGAGAGAGAAACACUGAGAAAGAGAGACCCAGGUGGGGUGUUAGAGACAUUGAAAGAAAAGGAAGGAGAAAGGAGACACAAAUAGAGACAAAUUGAGAGACAGAUUUUGAGAAACAGAUAGAUUGAGACAUGUAGAGAGAAAGAAAGAGAUAAAGAGACAAUAAAAGAGAAUAACGUGCAGAGAGAGGAGAAAUAGAAAAGGAGAAAUAAAGGUGAGGCAGACAAAGAGGUGGGGAGAGUGAGAGACAAGACAGUGUGAGACAGUGAAAGAGAGAAGGAUAAAGAAGACAAAUUGAUGGGUAGAUUGAGAAACAGAUUAAGACAUAUAGAGAAAGAGAGAUUAAGACACAAGAGAGAAGGAGGAAACAGAUCAAGAGAGAAACAGACAUAAAAGAAGAAAUAAAAGUGAUAAAGGUCGGGAGAGACAGAUUGAGAGAUAAGACAUAGUUUGAGACAGUGAAAGAGAAGGAAGGAGAAAGGAGACAGAAAUAAAGCCAGAUUGAGAAACAGAUAGAUUGAGACAUAUAGAGAGAGAAAAAAAGAGAUUAAGAAACAGAAGAAAAGAAUGAGGGGGAAGAGAGAGAAAAGGAGGAAACAGAUCAAGAGAGAUAGAGAAAAGGAGAAAUAAAGGUGAGAGAGGUGGGGAGAGAGAGACAUGUUGAGAGAGAACACAAUUUGAGACAGUGAAAGAGAGGGAAGGAGAAAGGAGACAAAAUGAGAGACAGAUUGAGAAACAGAUUGAGACAUAUAUAUAGAAAGAGAGAUUAAGAGACAGAAUAAAAGAAAGGGGCAGAGAGAGAAGGACAAAACAGAUCAAGAGAGACAAAGAAAAGGAGAAAUAAAGGUGAGAGACAUGUUGAUUCACAAGACAGUUUGAGACAGUGAAAGAGAAGGAAGGAGAAAGGAGACAAAUGAGCCAAAUUGAGAGACAGAUCGAGAAACAGAUUUAACAUAUAUAGAGAGAAAGAGAGAGAUUAAGAGACAGAAUAAAAGAUAAUGAGGGGCAGAGAGAGAGACAAGUAUGGAGAAAGGGGAAAGAGACAGUGAUCAAGAAAGAAACAGAAAGAGACAGAGAGUCUAAGAGACAGUAAUCAGAAAGCUAGAAAGACAAAAGGAGAAAGAUUGAGAGACAAGACAGUUUGAUUGACAGUGAAAGAAUAAGAGAGAAGGAAGGAGAAAGGAGACGAAAUGAGGGGCAGAGAGAGAGAAGGGGGGAGAAAAGGGAGACAGAUUGAGAUACAGAGAGAAUGAGACAAAGAAUAAGAGAAAAGUAAGGAGAAAAAAAUGAAAGAGAGGAGAGAAAGAAACAAAUAUUGGGAGACAAUAAGAAAGGCAGAGAGGCAGAGGAAGAAAGAGAAAUACAUAAAGAAAGAGAUAAUUGAGAGAUAAAGAAUAAGGGGCAGAGGGAGAAAGGGCAGACAGAUCAAGAGAGAGAAAAAGACAGAAAGAUACACACACGCAGAGAUAGAGACAGAUAUAAAGGGACAGGACACCUGGUUAAUGUAGAGCAAGCCAGCUAGGUGUCCUGGUGGAAAGAAGGUUCUACUUGGAACUGAUCCAUAAUGGCUGCUGACAGCCUUGUUACAUCAAAGAAAUCAUCAUCUUAAGUCAUAGAACUUGACAGUGUCUAACAAUGCUGAAGCUAAAUAAUAUUUCUGGUGUCAUAGCUAAGAAAGCCCUUAUGGCCUUUGGAUAGGAGAAGAAAGAGUUAGAGGGAAGAAGGCAUCAAUGAUUGGAGUCAUUCAGAGAAGGUAUGCCUGGAAAGGCAGAGUGGAAUAGCAUAGAUAUCUCACAGAGCUGUGUCCCUUGGAAGUCUUAGGGAACUGAGUUUCCAUUCUAUUUGACAUUCUUUAUAAUCACUUGAAAUUUGACAAUUCAGUUGGAGUGCUUAAGCCUCUACUUGUUUUGUUUUAAUGAAAUAGAGUUGGAUUUAGUGGCCAAUAACACUAAUCACACUGAUGGUAUUGGAGAUAAUAGAGAAUGAGAAAAAGCCAGUCAUCAUUGAGUUAGAGUGAGAGUAAGAGAAGAAAGCUUAUGGAAAAGAAGGGAGAGAGAGUGAAAAAGAAGAGACUAGUCAGAGAGAGUCAGAGAAAGAGAUACAGACAGAGACAGUAAAAAUAGAAGCAGAGAGAAACGAGCAACAGAAGGAACAACUUGAUGGACAAAUCAAUGUAGACAGUGAUCAAGUAAAGAAAGAGAUUAAAAGAUAAAAAUGGAAAUGUAGGGUAAAUAAGCAAGGUGUCAUAGUGGUCAUAGCAUUAUAAUUAGGAAUUUUUAUUCUAUAUCAGGGGCUGACAAGGUGCUUAUAAGUCUCUCAAGUACUGUCAGCCUCAUUUUUCAUCUUUGUCAAAUUUUGGAGCUGGACUUGAUGGUUUGGUUUCUAAGGACCUUCGAUCCCCAUGAUCCUCUAGUUGCCAGAGAGUGAAAAUCAUGUCCCACUGGGAUUAGUCUUAGAAGAGAUUGAGGCAGAGUUGAUGUGAAUCAGGCACUAAGGAUGAGAGGGAAAGAGGUAAGUGUCCACAUGACUUGGAAGUAUAGGGAGUAAGGGGCAAUAUGUGGAAUAAAACAGGUAGAUAUCCUAGUGUACUCUUCUUUGGAUUAUGAAUGAUCUUGGGAGAUGGGUAUUAAGAGUUUGGCCUUGGAUAUUUCAGUCAAAACAAUCAUUCUUAAAUUGUGGAUCAUGACCCAUAUGGGGUCGCAUAACUGAAUAAGGGGGUCACAAAAUUAUGAUUCUGCAUAAAAAUUUCUUGGACAAAAAGGGGUUGCGAGUGGAUAAAGUUUAAGAAGCCCUACAGUACAUAUUAAGCCAUUAUCCUUGUUAUAGUGCAAUAAAGUAGAAACAAAUGGUCCCUCAGGUUAUUGGCUAGGAAGUAUAAGAAGGAAAUAAUGCUUUUGAGGAAAAGAUUGAAAGAAGGAGAAGGAAAGAGAAGGAUUGAGACAAAGACAGUGACAGAGACAAAGAGAGAAACAGAAUGUGUGAGAGAGAAACACACAGAACAAUAUAUAUGGAGAGAAAAAGUGAGAGCGGCUGUAAGACAGAAAACUCCGGCUGAUACAGCAUGACACAUAGAAACACUCACACAUACAUACACACAACUACGAGAUAUUGAGUAAUUAUUGAGGGAAGAGACCAUGAUGGAGGAUGAUGAGCAAUAGAGAUAAGAGAGACCAGGUGAGGGCAGAAAGCAAAGGAAAGAAUUAUCAGGCUGGUGUAGGGAAGGCCAGCUAGGUGGUACAGUGGAUAGACACGUUAUUUGGAAAUCAUUUAUUGAAUUUAAAUUCUAUCAGAGUCACUGACAAGUACUGUUCCUUUGGAAAAAAUCACUUCUAUGUUCAGCUUCAGUUUUUUGCUUAGUAAACUUCUUGUGCAGGAUUUGAUAUCUAUUGAUGCUUUAGCUCUAUGAUCCUCUGGUAGCCACAGAGAGAAAAGGAUUUACACUUGGGAGUAAGCUUGAAAAAUAAAGAGAUAGAGUCAUGGGGAAUCAGGCAUUGGCCAUGAGAAGGAAUCAUCUACAGACAAUAGAAGUAUCUACAGUGUGGGAAAAUGGAGAGAAAAGCACCUAGGUCUCAUAAGUGACAGUUCUUUGAAGUCAGAAUGAAUGUAGUCAGGGUAUCUAAGCCUCUAACUGCUGUUUUACUAUUAUGGAGUUUGGUAUCAUGGACCAAAUGGGCCUUAAGGCUCUAAAACUGAUUAUAUAUAUAGUAGGGGAAACAAAGAGCCACUUGUUUGUAGAGGGCAUAAGAGUAAGGGGAAAAAUCUUUUGAGGAGGAGAUGAUAGAGACAAAGAAGAGAAAGGAAGAGAGACAGAGAUAUAAAUGAGAAAGCACUGUAAAGAAGGUGAAAAUUUGAGGGAGGAAACCCAAGUGGGGAAGAGAUUAAAAGGAAAAGGAUUCCCUAGGAGGAAGACUGAGAAUGAUGGAAAGAGAUCUGACUUUGGAGUCAAGAUAUUAGAGUUGGAAACGUGAUGCUUAAUAUGUUUUCCUGGGCAUUUCUCUUGCCAUUUUCAGCCUCAGUUUCUUCCUCUGUAAUUGAUGGCAGUGGCAGUGGUGGCCUUUAAGGUUUCUCUGGCUCUAUGAGUUUAUGGAUGGGGAGAGAGGAAAGAAAGCCCACUCAGGACUGGAGUGAGAAGGGUGAUAAAUUUAGAGAAAAGCGUGUAGAGGAGGAGAGAGGUAUGGAGGGACAGGACCACUGGGAAUGGCCUUUGGAGGCCAUUUGUGGAGCAUAGAGCAAAGUCUCCAUGUAUAUAAAAACCUGUUCCUCUGGGUCAAUAUGAUCUGAGUCCAAAGGUUCUUCACACAUUCUUAUUAGAUGUGUGACCCUGGGUAAGCCACUCAGUGUCUGAGACUUCUUUUCUUCUGUUCGCAAUGCUAGGCUCAGACUCGGUGACCUGUAGGGUUUCUUCCACUGCGAGUCAGGGAGAAGAAAGGGAAGUUAGGAUUUUAGACCUGGGAUGUGUCUGGGAGGCAACUCAGAGCCAUAUGAUAGAGUCUUCUGGUGGAAGGAGAACUAUUGGAGUUUGCAUCUGAACUCAGCUGGGGCAAAGUUGGUUUAUCCCGGGCAAGUCACUUCACUUACCUUAACCACAGUUUUCUCUUCUGUCAAAUGCUGGUGUUGCACUUGACGGUCUCCCAUUGUCCUGCGGCCAAAUGGUGCCGUGAGGGUCAGAGGGCAAGCAAGCCCUGGCACUGAUGCCGUGUGUGUGUGUUGGAAUGAGAACCAGUCAUCUUGCCACAUCUUGAUGGCCUAAAAUGUAGAAAUCCCCCAGUUCUCUGGGUGCCCUAGAGAAUCUCCUAUCCCCCUACAAGGACAGGGUCAAAGUCUGAUCCAGUGUGGUGACAAGUACUUGCUGUCCUUGGAUAGGAGACCAUGCAUUUUAUUCCAAAAUAGCUCCUUUUUAAUACUUUUUAUAAAAUUAUUUUUUAUUUUGAUUUUAAUAAAAUUUGGUCCCUUCCCUUAUCUCCUGUCCUUGAAUAGAGAGUGUAUUCAUCUUAAUGAAUGUUAGAAACAUUCAUUAAGUACCUACCACAUGUCAGGCCCCAUGUUAAACCCUGGAGAUGUAAAGAAAGGUGAAAGGCAGCUCUUCAGGAGCUCCCAGUCUAAUGGCACAGACAACAAGCCAACAGCUAUGGAGGAGCCUUGCUGAGAAUGGAGACCAUUGCAGGCCUGGGGGACAGCCACUGAUAUUGGUUAGAGUCAGAAGAUGGAACGUGUUGUUCCGAGAAAAAGGAGGCCACUGUCACUGCAUUACAUAUGCAUUAUAUUGGGGGAGUGUAAGGUGAAAGGAGACUGGAAAGGCGGCUGGUCAGGCAGGGCUUUGCAUGCCAAGCAGAGGCUUUUAGACCUCAUUCUGGAGGCUCUGGGCGUCCCUGAGUAGUGGCCCUGCUGGCUGAGCAGCUGAAUGGAGGAUGGAGUGGAGGAGGGUGAGAAUGGAGGCAGGAAGAGCAAUAAAAAGGGUCUUUCAGUGGCCCAAUAUGAGAUGAUGAGGAAGUGCCCCAAGGUGGGGGCAGUGUCACAGGACAGAAGUGUCACUUGUGAGAGGUGUGCAGAAGGUAGAAUGGACAGGCCUUGGUAAUAAAUAAAUAAAUAGAUAGAUAGAUAAAUAGAUAGAUAAUAAAUCCUUUGGUUUUCCUCAACACCCAAAUUUCCCCAUUUUCUCCAUCUAUAUAAACAGGAGCCCAUCCUCUUUGUUCUCUUCCUCUCUCUCUCUUGUGAAACGCUUGUUGAAUGCUGCUUAUUGUCAUUGUGUUUUGUGUGCAUGGAAGAUUGUGAAAGCCCAGUUUCUUCCUUAGAAAGCUGUAGCUACUUCCCUUCAUGGAGAAUAGCCCUUCUCUGCAGGUUAGGGAGAGUAGAUCCCCCACAUGCAGGUAACUGACAGGACUCCAACCUGUUGGUGAGUUAGGGCCUGAUCCUCUCAAAGCUGGAGCCAUUGCUGUGCAGGGCCCAGCGCUUCAGAGACACCAGGGCCAUUGCUGGUCCUCCUGACCUUUGUCCUGCCUCUGGACCUAGGUGAUGAAGAGAGACAAGCUGGCAACUUUCUGCAACUGUGCCUCACUUAAAUCCAAUUCAUGUGCAAGUCAACUCAUCCCCUCUCAUCCACUAUUUGGUUCAUAUGAUGUCCUUGGUUCCCUUCAAAAAUGAAGGAUGAACAACAACAAGAAGUAGGGAUCUUUUUAGUUUAGCUUCUUAUCUCUGAUCUAGGGUCUUUGGCUUCUGGCUGUUGUGCUUCUAGAAGGAGGUUGAGAGAAUGAUCCAAGUGUUUGUGAUUAGAACCUGGUUAGUGUGGUUCACUCUGAGUUAGUGGAGUGAUGGGACACUUGGGAGUGCUGGAGUGUGCACAUGGUAAAUUUUUACCUUUCUGACCACCCUCCCAUGGUACUGUCACUCUUCUGCUCUUUGGGCAGGAAGAGUGGUUUUUAUGCAGGUUUCUUUGGUCCAAAGGAGAGGAGAGUGAAACACGUAGAAAAGGUGGUGAGUCAGAUGUUUGUUGGUUGUGGCUUCAGAGGAAGGGCUGUUCUGUGCCAGGGAAUUGGCUUAGUUGUGAAUUCUUGAUCCAGGUUGGGACCAUCCAUCUUGGUAGCUAUAGCUACUUCUCAAGGUUUCUCUUCGGCAGGUAGAGAGGAAAGAUGUAGGGAUCUUGUGCCUCAAUAGGAGGAACACUUCCUUUGUCUUGUCAGUGGAAGAGCUGGGACGAAGACUUCAGAUGGAACCUUUUGCUUCUUGACCUCAAGAGAAAUCCUUCAUUCCCCCAUGAAAUUAAGAGAAGGCAUUUGCUAGGGUUGCAUGUGUGCAUAAAUGAAGAUGGCCAGUGAUUGUGUGAGUGAAUGUAGAAGCUCAAACACGUCACGAGGCGAAACACUUGUAAAGACUUGAAUUAGGCCAAUGGUUUGGUCUCCUGGCAGUGAGAAUCUCUGGCAAUCACUGAUUUCUUAGCUAGCUGAGAACAUAGUAUACCUAGAGUCCUCCUGCCUAAAAGAGUCUCCAAUAGUGUAGCCCCUGUGGGAAGAUUAGGCCCAUGAGAAACCAAACAAACCAUCACAAUCCUAGAACUUCUCUUGUCUCAGAAUUUUCUAUUCUGAAAUUCUCUUAUGUCUUUGAAAAGGGAGCCUAGAACUUUGUUCCAAGAUUUUGUGUCCUGAGACACAGGAGAGAAUGAGCAGGGUUUUGAUUGUGCUUGGUUGUCGUAUGUAAUAUAGAGCAUGUGCUGUUGUGGUUGUCUGCAUUUUGUGUCUUUGUGAAUGAAGCUUUUUUUCCUGAGGUCUGAUCAGCCAAAGGAAAAAGGGCGAAUAGGGGGAGAGCUCGUGAUUGGGCAUUUCCAAACUUUCAAAGGAUAUCAUAUCUCUGUAUUCCUGAUUCUGGCCAAGUUAGGAAUACAGGAUAGGUGGGCAGGGGGAAAGAGGGAAAGGGGCAAAGUGGAAAAUGGAAGGGGAGAGGAAGAGAGUGAGUGAGUGAGAGAGAGAGAGAGAUAGGAAGAGAGAUUCUUUUCCCAUUUGUAACAAUUUGUGGAGUUUCAGACUAAUUAGAGAACUAAUUUGUGAGUGGUGUAAUCUGUUUACUAGUAUAGCAAAUUGUGAAGAGACUGUGGUUCAAGCUCUAGGAUCUUGUUUGGCUUUUUGGGAUAUGGCUCCUUAGAAGUGCUCAAAUGGAGACUUGGUGGAAUUUGCAUUUAAAAUUCACCAGAACCCCAUUGCCAUUCUUUUCCUUACUUGGAAGACCAAAGAAUUUAUUGGUUUUAUGUAGAGAAGGUGAUUAUUAUGAGUAGAAGAUUUUCAGUCCUUAAUAGACUGAAGCUAGUUUAAAAGAUUUUCUUCUAGUGAUUACAAAAGUAAGCAGUCAUUUCUCUAGUUUAAAUCUUGAAACAUUAUCUAGUAUUUAAGAAAAAUUUAGUGUAUUCUUGCUCAGGAAGAAAGAGUCUUGUUUAAAUCAAAAUGCAAAAUAGAAUAAGGGAAUAAGCAAUUUCAUUUUGGGAGAAUAGUUUUUCUGACCACUCUGGUUUUCUGUGACUGAUUUGGCAGAAUGUAAUUGCUGAGAUAAAUAAGAGGAAAAGUCACCUAAAAGGAAUUAAAAUGGACUAUGGCUUUGCAAGUUCUUAAGGAAGGAAUGAAAUUGGAAGAGUUUUGCUUGAUAAAGUGAGAAACUGCUUGUAAUCCACAAAGUUUUAAACUGAAUUUGAGAUGUACAAGACAAAUUUGCUGAAGUUGCAGAGUAAAAUCCAGCAGAGUAGAGAAAUUAGUCCCGUGCUGGUCAGAGACAUGCUUUGGAGGGGGACAGGUGUGAGAUUGAGAAAGUCGCAGAGAAGGAAGGAAGGUGAAGCAGUAGACCAGGUGUGCUGAGAGGCAGUUCUAGGGUGUGCAGGGAUCAUUCUAAUUUAAUCCAAGUCUGAACAGAGAGAGGACUGCGCCUUUCUAUAACACCUCUUGACUAUUCCCCCCUCUGUCCUCUGACAUAGCCCCCACUCUUGUCCAGGGCCUCAUUUCCUCAUAUCUGGACUAUGGCCAUAGUGGCUCUGCUCCAGGUCUCCUCCUUCUAGUCCAUCCUCCAUUGGGCUAAGAACACUUUUCUUAAAGCGCAGGUCCAAUCAUGUUCCCUUUGCUCAGUAAACUUCAGUGGCUCCCUACUGCCUCCAGAAUCUAAUAAAUAAUAUUUUCUUAGCAGACUAGAUCUCUUCCCAAGUUGCGCUUCCUGCCUUUGCAGUCUCGUUCUACUUUAUUCUCCUCCACCUCCUGGGUGCAGCGACAUUAUCCUCCUUGCUGUACCUUGAAUAUGAUGCUAUCCCCUGACUAUUCAUAUUUUCACUGGCUUUCCACCAUGCCUGUAAUGCUCUACCUGCUCAGUCUCACGGUGGAUGGUCCUCUGGCCUUGGGCUCCAGACUAUUUGUUCUCAUUCUGACUCAUACUGGGGCAAGCCGUGUUAUCUCUGGAAAGUCAAUCGACGUCAUUUAGUCUCAGUUUCCUCUUUUGUAAAAAGAAGGGGCUGGAUGUCAUGUAACUUUACAGCUCUGUGACCCAGCAGAUGAGAGAAUGAGAAAAAAGAAAGCCCCCCCCCCACCUCUGUUAAUUUGUGUGUGAGAGAGAGUUGGAGGGAAGAUGGCAGUGAGGAAGAUCAGAGAGAAGCAAUGAGGCCUGGGGGUAAUGUGUGAAGUCUCAAAGGCUCCUAGAGGACCUAUGACUGUUGUGAAUGGUCAUGAGUUCAAAUUCUGAUUCAUAACAUGCUUAGUGGCUGUGUGAUGCUGGGAAAGUCACCAAUUGUCUAAGCUGCUUUCUUCUUCUUUAAAAUGAUGGAGUUGGACUCAGUAGCCCUUAUGGUUCAUUCCAGCUCAAAAUGUCAGUUAAUCUCAGUGAUCAAGAACUAAUUUAGAGUACUGAUUUUUAGAUUAGAUAGAGGGAUUGUAGGGUAAAAAGUUUCUGAGCCGCACAUUGAGAGAAAAAGUACAUUUUCUGUGGACAGUGAGUUAUCUGAGUGGACUGUCCUUAGAGGUUUAGAGCCGAGUUCAGAUCCAACUUUGUGUUCUCACUAAAUGUUUGACCUUGAGAAAUGUAUUUAACAUGUAUAAAUUCUGAGAUAAUAUAAUGGAGUUAGUUGUACUUAGUGGCCCCCAGGUUUCUCCCAGGUCUAAAUCCAUGAUCCUAUUAGUGAUGGGAAGAAAAAAAUAGUUAUUAUUGGGUAGAAAUGAGAGUAAGGGAAAAAAUCUUUUGAUGAAAAGUGAGGAAGAAAAUAAGGUUAGAGAAAGAGAGGGAGAAAGGAGGGGUAGUGAGUGAAGGAGCAAAGGAGGGAAGGAGACGGAGAGGAGAGACAGACAGACUCAGAGAGUGGAGGAGAGCCAGAGCCAGAGAGCCAGCUUUAGAGGCAGAGAUAGAGAGAUUGGAAAACAGAAAUAAAGAAAAACAGUAUACCUUGAGAAGAAGGGACAAAGGAAUAUGGAAAGAGAGAAAUCAUUUUUGUUGAUGGUGAGCAACUGAUCAAAGAAAUACGUAGUUGUAAAGGUAUACUAGUCUUGGGAAAUGUGGAGCAAACCAUCUAAAUUUCCUAGUGUUCAGAGCAGUGUAAUUAGAAUGGAGUGAGUUUACGUUCCAUAUCAGUGGCUAAUAAGCUAUUUUACUCUGGAGAAGUCCCUUAACCAAUUGUUAGACUCACUUUUAAUCUUAAUAAAUUUAGGAAGCUAGACUUGAUGGUAUCUAUGGAUUCUCCAGCUCCAUGAUCCUCUGGCUACCAGAUAGUGAAAAGGCUGUGCACUUGGGAUUAGUCUUAAAAUAUAGAGUAUUUAACUGAAUCAUUCACUGAAGAUGAGGAGACAGAGGUAAAUGUCCACAGAAAAUGGAUAUGUGUAAAUUGAAGUGAGUAUGUAGAAUUAAAUAGCUAGAUAUCCUUGUGGACCAUCUUGGAAGUAUCAAUGACCUGAGUUCAAAUCUUAGUUAAUAUUCUUAGUUAAGUCUUUUUACCUGGGUAAUUACCUGGACUGUCUAUGGUAAUAUCUUCCAUUAUAAUAUAACUAUAUUGGACUCAAUGGUCCCUUAAGUUCCUUCCCACUCUAAAUCUAUGGCUCUAUUGGUGAUUAGGGAGUAAAAGGAAAAAAAAAACUAUCAUUGAGUUGGAAUUAGAGUAAAGAAAUAAACCUUUUUAGGAGGAGUUAGAGAGAAUGAGGGUCAAAGGGAAGGAUUGAGAGAAAGGCAAAAAAUGACAAAGACAGAGAAAAGUAAGAUUGAGAGAGUUAGACACACAGACUCACACACACAUAUACACAUGAAAAUUAGAGAGUGACAGCAAGGUAGAGAAAAAACACAGAUACAACACAAGAGGUAGAGAGAUCGAAAUAUAUUCAAAAGGACAAGAUAGUAAAGGGAAGAGAGUAUUAUGGAGGACCAUGAGGAAUACAAAAAAAGAGACCCAAGGUAAUGGAGAGAUGCUUAGGGAAGAGACCUGUGUAAAGUAGUAGUGUAACGUAGUCAUAGUGUAAUGUGUGUUCUGGUAAAUAGAAUAUUGUAGUUGAAAUUGAUUGAGUUUAAGUCCCACUUUCGCAGCUCAGAAGCUUGGUUACUUUGGAGAAAUAACCACUUAACCACUGUGGCCCCGUGUGUUCUAUUUAGGCAAAUAAUGGGGCUACCUUUUAUGAUGUCUAAUGAUGUUUGAGCUCAAUGAUUUUAUGUGUGUCAGAGCAAAGGAUGUCCACUUAGGAUUAAGCUUAAAGAAGAACAGGGAAUCAGGUAAUGAACAUGAGAAGAAAGAAAGCAGCAUCCACAAGAAGAAGAACUGUGUGUAGUAAAGCAAACAGGAAGAUAAUAAUAGCCAGAAUAACUAAAGCAGCCAUGCUUAAACUUUGGUUACUUGUGACCUCUUUUCUCUUGGGGAAUUUUUACAUUGCUCUCGGUGUAUUGGUAUAUAAAAUAGGUAGGUACAUAAAUCAAACAUUUAUUGAUAAUUACAAUAAUAGUGAUAAAAAUAAUAAUUUCAAUCAUAAUUUUGGAACCUCCACAUUCAGUUAUGUGAGCCCACAUGGGAUUGUAACCCACAGUUAAAGAAGCUUUGAACUAGGGGAUUCAUUUUGGAAUAGUUAAUGACCUGAGUCCCACUAUUAUUGCACAUUUUUAAUAACUGUUUAUUCAUUUAGAGUAGGGAAAGUUUGGCCCAUCGGCAAUGUAACGCCCACAAAAUCAUUUGCUUAAGCAACCACAGGCGAUGAUGAGCUAAGCUAGGUACAACGAUCCCCUGCUACUUGAGUUUUAUAAGUGAUAAUUUUGUAUGGCCUGUGAAUGAUACUGGAAUAUCCAAAUGGACUUAAGCAGAAAAAAAGGUUCCCUAUCUCUGAGUUAAGAGUACCUAAUGCCCUGUCUACCAUUAUAGUAUAAUGGAGUUGGAUAAAAUGGCCCCUAUGGAUCCUUCUAACUCAAAUUUUUUGAUCUAAUUGAUUUUAGGAAGAAAAGAUCUUUUGAUAUUGACUAGGAAGCAAAAGUGGAGGAAGAGACAGAGAGGAGACAGAGAUGAAACAAGCAAAGGGGAGAGAGUGGGAGAGCAUGAGACAGAAAUAGUGAGAGAUGUAAAGAUAAAAACAGAGAAUGGCAUUGAGAUAUUCUGAAAAAUCUAGAAAUUAGAUAAAGAGGAACACUGAUAAAGAGACAGAGAGAGAGCCAUAUGAUAAUGAGCAAGGGAAAGAUGGAAGUAUAUGGAGGACAAUGAGGAAUAGAGAGAGAAAAGACCACAAGGAGAGAUGCAAUGGGAAGAGACAACUGGCAGGUGUAGAAGAAGGCAGUUAUGUUUCAUGAGUUGACUCAUUGAGUUUAAAUCCCAACAUAACGUCUGACUUAUGUCAGUCAUGUCACUUAAUGACUCACAGUCUUUGUUUUCUCCUCAGUACAUGUAUUGGGAGGGAUUCUAUGGUGUCUAAUGACAAACCAUUUGUAUAAUCCUCUGGAUUAGAGAGAUAAAAGGAUAACUGCUUUGAAUUAAGCUUUAAUAAAGAAAGAAUUAUAAGCAAUAAAACAUCAUGAAUGAGGAGAUAGAAGUAAGAUUCUACAGGAAAUAGAAAUGUGUACAUUGGGAAGAAGACAUAGAGAAAAAGAUGGCUGCUAGUAGACUCGUAGGAAGUUAGAAUGAUCAGAGUUCAAAUCGUAAUGAACGUUCUGACUAUUUGAGGCUGGUAAUUCAGAGUAUGUAAGGUACCCUGUUCUGCAAUACCAUAAUAGGAUUAGACUCAAUGGCCCUUUAGGAUCAAUUCCAGCUCCAAAUGUAUGAUUAUAGUCAUGAAAGGAGAUCCAGAAAAGAUAAGCUAUUAUUGAGUGGGGAAAAAAUUUUUGGAGGAGAAGGGGGGGGGAGGGCGGGCGGGAAGGGGAUAGAGAGAGAGAGAGACAGACAGACAGACAGACAGACAAAGAGACAAAGUGGGAGCGAGGCAAAGAGAUAUAAAGUAGCAGUGAGAUAAAUAGUAGAAAUAAAUAGAAAAAGACAACGAGAGAGACAGAGACAAAGAAAUUUAGAAACAAAAUAAGAGAGAAAAAGAGAAUGAGAGAGACAGAAAGAAAUGAAGAAAUCAUUUCAAUUAAGAGAUCAUAUAAUAAAAUAUAAUAAUAUAAUCAUUUAAAUUAAGCAAAAAUAAUAUAAAUGAAAAUAUCAUAAAGAAACAGAAAUAGAAAAAGAAAGUGAGAAAGAAAGACACAUUGAGAGAGACAAAGAGACAAGGUGGGAGUGAGACAGAGAAAGAGAUAAAGACGGAAAGUAGCAGUGAGAUAGAUAAUAGGGAAAAAUAGAGACACAGAAAAAAGUGAAUGAGGAGAUAGACAUAGAUAGAGACAAGGAAUUUUAGAGAUAAAAUCAUAAAGAAGACAAAAAUAGGAUGAGAAAAAUAGAGACAGAGAGAAAUAUAAGUUUUAAGUUAUAAAGAUAAAGAGAAACAGAAAAAGAGAAUGAGAGACACAUACAGAGCGAGAAAAUGUCAGAAUGACCCGAGUUCAAAUUGUAAUGAAUAUUCUGACUAUUUGGGGCUGGUAAAUUCAGAGUAUGUAAGCUACCCUGUUCUGUAAUACCCUAAUAGGAUUUGACUCAGUGGCCCUUUAGGAUCAAUUCUAGCUCCACAUGUAUGAUUAUAGUCAUGAAAGGAGAUCCAGAAAAGAUAAGCUAUUAUUGAGUGGGGAAAAAAUUUUUGGAGUAGGAGGCAGGGGGAGGGAGGGAGGGAAGGGGAUAGAGAGAGAGAGCAGACAGACAGACAGAGAAAGAGACAAAGUGGGAGCGAGGCAAAGAGAUAGAAAGUAGCAGUGAGAUAAAUAAUAGAAAGAAAUAAAAAAGACAACGAGAGAGACAGAGACAAAGAAAUUUAGAAACAAAAUCAGAGAAAAAGAGAAUGAGAGAGAGACAGAAAGAAAUGAUGAAAUCAUUUCAAUUAAGAUGUAAUAUAGUAAAAGAUAAUAUAAUCAUUUAAUUUAAGUGGUAAUAAUAUAAUAAAAGAAAAAACCACAAAGAAACAGAAAUAGAAAAAGAGAAUGAGAAAGAAAGAGACAUUGAGAGAGACAAAGAGACAAGGUGGGAGUGAGACAGAGAAAGAGAUAAAGACAGAAAGUAGCAGUGAGAUAAAUACCAGGGAAAAAUAGAGACACAGAAAAAAGUGAAUGAGGAGACAGACAUAGAUAGAGACCAUGAGUUUUAGAGAUAAAAUCAGAAACAAGACAAAAA